rnacentral:rRNA from 1 species
AGAGUUUGAUCCUGGCUCAGGACGAACGCUGGCGGCGUGCUUAACACAUGCAAGUCGAACGGAAAGGCCCUUCGGGGUGCUCGAGUGGCGAACGGGUGAGUAACACGUGGGUGAUCUGCCCUGCACUUUGGGAUAAGCCUGGGAAACUGGGUCUAAUACCGAAUAGGACUGCGCUCUUCAUGGGGUGUGGUGGAAAGCUUUUGCGGUGUGGGAUGGGCCCGCGGCCUAUCAGCUUGUUGGUGGGGUAAUGGCCUACCAAGGCGACGACGGGUAGCCGGCCUGAGAGGGUGACCGGCCACACUGGGACUGAGAUACGGCCCAGACUCCUACGGGAGGCAGCAGUGGGGAAUAUUGCACAAUGGGCGCAAGCCUGAUGCAGCGACGCCGCGUGAGGGAUGACGGCCUUCGGGUUGUAAACCUCUUUCAGCACAGACGAAGCGCGAGUGACGGUAUGUGCAGAAGAAGGACCGGCCAACUACGUGCCAGCAGCCGCGGUAAUACGUAGGGUCCGAGCGUUGUCCGGAAUUACUGGGCGUAAAGAGCUCGUAGGUGGUUUGUCGCGUUGUUCGUGAAAACUCACAGCUUAACUGUGGGCGUGCGGGCGAUACUGGCAGACUGGAGUACUGCAGGGGAGACUGGAAUUCCUGGUGUAGCGGUGGAAUGCGCAGAUAUCAGGAGGAACACCGGUGGCGAAGGCGGGUCUCUGGGCAGUAACUGACGCUGAGGAGCGAAAGCGUGGGGAGCGAACAGGAUUAGAUACCCUGGUAGUCC